CUGGAGCAAUUUGUAGGCAAUUAUAGAGUCUGAUCAUGGCUCAGAUUGAACGCUGGCGGAUGCUUUACUACGUGUCGAACGGCAGCACGGACUUCGGUCUGGUGGCGAGUGGCGAACGGGUGAGUAAUGUAUCGGAACGUGCCUAGUAGCGGGGAUAACUACGCGAAAGCGUAGCCAAUACCGCAUACGCCCUUCGGGAAAGCGGGGGGACCUUUCGGGCCUCGCACUAUUAGAGCGGCCGAUAUCGGAUUAGCUAGUUGGUGGGGUAACGGCUCACCAAGGCGACGAUCCGUAGCUGGUUUGAGAGGACGACCAGCCACACUGGGACUGAGACACGGCCCAGACUCCUACGGGAGGCAGCAGUGGGGAAUUUUGGACAAUGGGGAAACCCUGAUCCAGCCACUUCCGCGCGUGCGAUGAAGGCCUCGGGGUUGUAAAGCACUUUGGCAGGAAGAAACGGCACGGGAUAAUACCCCGUGCAACUGACGGUACCUGCAGAAUAAGCACCGGCUAACUACGUGCCAGCAGCCGCGGUAAUACGUAGGGUGCAAGUGUUAAUCGGAAUUACUGGGCGUAUAAGCGUGCGCAGGCGGUUCGGAAAGAAAGGAAUCCCAGAGCUUAACUUUGGAACUGCAUUUUUAACUGAGCUAGAGUGUCAGAGGGAGGUGGAAUUCCGCGUGUAGCAGUGAAAUGGCAGUAGAUAUGCGGAGGAACACCGAUGGCGAAGGCAGCCUCCUGGGAUAACACUGACGCCUGGCGCACGAGCGCGUGGGGAGCAAUGGGAUUAGAUACCCUGGUAGUCCACGCCCUAAACGAUGUCAACUAGCUGUUAGCCUUCGGGCCUUAGUAUAGCAGCUAACGCGUGAAGUUGACUGCCUGGGGAGUACGGUCGCAAGAUUAAAACUCAAAGGAAUUGACGGGGACCCGCACAAGCGGUGGAUGAUGUGGAUUAAUUCGAUGCAACGCGAAAACCUUAACAAUUCUUUGAUAUGUCUGAAUCCCGAAGAGAUUUGGGAGUGCUCGCAAGAGAACCGGAACACAGGUGCUGCAUGGCCAAUGUCAGCUCGUGUCGUGAGAUGUUGGGUUAAGUCCCGGCAACGAGCGCAACCCUUGUCAUUAGUUGCUACGAAAGCACUCCAGACGAGACUGCCGGUGACAAACCGGAGGGGAACGGUGGGGACACGUCAAGUCCUCAUGGCCCUUAUGGGUAGGGCUUCACGUCAUACAAUGGUCGCAUUGGUGAGGUCGCCAACCUGGCGAGGGGGAGCCAAUCAGAAACCCGAUCAGGGGUCCGAUCGCACUGCAACCUCGACUGCGUGAAGUCGGGACCGCUAGUAAUCGCGGAUCAGUAUGUCGCGGUGAAUAUGUCUCCCGGGUCUUGUACACACCGCCCGUCACACCAUGGGAGUGGGUUUUACCAGAAGUAGUUAGCCUAACCGUAAGGAGGGCGAUUACCACGGUAGGAUUCAUGACUGGGGUGAAGUCGUAACAAGGUAG
rnacentral:rRNA from 1 species